CAGGGGGAGGAGGAGGAGAGUUACACUCAGCGUAGGACGGCAUGGCAACGCUGAGGCGCAUGCUGAGGCGCCGGUAGCCUGACGACACAUUGUCCACGCUUUGUGCAUGUUGCGUCGGAUAGUAACUGAUGGCAGUGUACUCGUUGGGGCACUGAGAGCUGGAUCAUUCACCUUCAGACACUUGUCCUUUUGGGUGGCUCAUCUGUCAAGUCAAUUAAAUGCUGUCACUAAUUUAUUUGGAUAAAGUGAAGACCGGCACGGCAUGUCGGAUUCCUCCAUUCAGACAGGGGUUACUGUCACAGCUGUUCAUCCUGACCUGGUUGACACAGCACUGGUAGACCCCAAACACCCUCCUCCUCCCAGGCCCAUUCCACUCCUUAUCCUCCUCUGUCCU